CCUACGGGUGGCUGCAGUGGGGAAUAUUGGGCAAUGGGCGCAAGCCUGACCCAGCAACGCCGCGUGAAGGAAGAAGGCUUUCGGGUUGUAAACUUCUUUUCUCAGGGACGAAGCAAGUGACGGUACCUGAGGAAUAAGCCACGGUUAACUACGUGCCAGCAGCCGCGGUAAUACGUAGGUGGCAAGCGUUAUCCGGAUUUACUGGGUGUAAAGGGUGUGUAGGCGGGACUGCAAGGCAGAUGUGAAAGCCACGGGCUCAACCUGUGGCCUGCAUUUGAAACUGUAGUUCUUGAGUACUAGAGAGGCAGGCGGAAUACGUAGUGUAGCGGUGAAAUGCGUAGAUAUUAGGAGGAACACCAGUGGCGAAGGCGGUCUGCUGGACAGCAACUGACGCUGAGGCGCGAAAGCGUGGGGAGCAAACAGGAUUAGAUACCCCAGUAGUC
rnacentral:rRNA from 1 species